AUACGUAGGGGGCGAGCGUUGUCCGGAAUGAUUGGGCGUAAAGGGCGCGUAGGCGGCCCGGUAAGUCUGGAGUGAAAGUCCUGUUUUUAAGAUGGGAAUUGCUUUGGAUACUGUCGGGCUUGAGUGCAGGAGAGGUAAGUGGAAUUCCCAGUGUAGCGGUGAAAUGGGUAGAGAUUGGGAGGAACACCAGUGGCGAAGGCGACUUACAGGACUGUGACUGACGCUGAGGCGCGAAAGUGUGGGGAGCAAACAGGAUGAGAUGCCCUGGUAGUCCACACUGUAAACGAUGAAUGCUAGGUGUAGGGGGUAUCGACUCCCUCUGUGCCGCAGUUAACACAAUAAGUAUUCCGCCUGGGGAGUACGGCCGCAAGGUUGAAACUCAAAUGAAUUGACGGGG
rnacentral:rRNA from 1 species